rnacentral:rRNA from 1 species
CCUACGGGAGGCAGCAGUGAGGAAUAUUGGUCAAUGGGCGGGAGCCUGAACCAGCCAAGUCGCGUGAAGGAAGAAGGUACUUAGUAUUGUAAACUUCUUUUGUCAAGGGACAAAAUCAGGCUCGAGAGCCUGACCGAGGGUACUUGAAGAAAAAGCAUCGGCUAACUCCGUGCCAGCAGCCGCGGUAAUACGGAGGAUGCGAGCGUUAUCCGGAUUUAUUGGGUUUAAAGGGUGCGUAGGCGGACUGUUAAGUCAGCGGUAAAAGCCCGGGGCUCAACCCCGGCGAGCCGUUGAAACUGGCUGUCUUGAGAUGUCGAGAGGUAUGCGGAAUGCGCAGUGUAGCGGUGAAAUGCUUAGAUAUUGCGCAGAACUCCGAUUGCGAAGGCAGCAUACCGGCGGCGAUCUGACGCUGAGGCACGAAAGCGUGGGUAUCGAACAGGAUUAGAUACCCGGGUAGUC